CGCUGAUUCUGCAAUCUGGAUGAGGACUGGUCGAGACACAUCACCUGGAGCUUUCUGUCUCUGAGCCUCAGCCAGGUUGUAGGGCAACGUUCCUUCCUCCAGAGGAGCAAUUCUUUCAAUGUCAGCUAAUGUCAUACGCCCCCGUGGCUCAUAUAAAUCUGCUAACUGAAACAAGAUGUCUACUUCCAUGGGUGUAACCUGACCAAAUUUCUGAGCUGCCAGAACGAACUCCUCCUUAGUGACUUCCACAUCUUUUCUAUUUCCAGCCAGAGUACUGUAGAUCUUUCUAAUGAGCUCCAUGUUG
rnacentral:lncRNA from 1 species